rnacentral:rRNA from 1 species
AAUGAACGUUGGCGGCGUGGAUUAGGCAUGCAAGUCGAACGGGCUCGGUUUUCGGAUCGAGUCAGUGGCGCAAGGGUGAGUAAGGCGACGGUAACCAACCCCAUGGUCGGGUAUAGCCGCGGGAAACUGCGGGUAAUCCCCAGCGACGUCAGUGGCCGGCAUCGGCCGUUGACCAAAGCUUUGGCGCCGUGGGACGGGCCGUCGUGGUAUUAGGUAGUUGGCGGGGUAACGGCCCACCAAGCCUGUGAUGCCUACCGGGCGUGCGAGCGUGGGCCGGCACACUGGGACUGAGACACUGCCCAGACUCCUACGGGAGGCUGCAGUCGAGAAUCUUCGGCAAUGGGCGCAAGCCUGACCGAGCGACGCCGCGUGGAGGACGAAGGCCUUCGGGUUGUAAACUCCUGUCGAGGGGGAGGAAGGGGUAACCUUGACCGAUCCCUGGAGGAAGCACGGGCUAAGUUCGUGCCAGCCGCCGCAGUAAAAC